rnacentral:tRNA from 1 species
GCGGCGUUGAUCUAGUGGUCUAAGAUGCCAGCCCCCCAAGCUGGAUAUCCCGGGUUCGAAUCCCGGACGCCGCA